rnacentral:rRNA from 1 species
GACGAACGCUGGCGGCGUGCCUAAUACAUGCAAGUCGAACGCUUCUUUCCUCCCGAGUGCUUGCACUCAAUUGGAAAGAGGAGCGGCGGACGGGUGAGUAACACGUGGGUAACCUACCCAUCAGAGGGGGAUAACACUUGGAAACAGGUGCUAAUACCGCAUAACAGUUUAUGCCGCAUGGCAUAAGAGUGAAAGGCGCUUUCGGGUGUCGCUGAAGGAGGGACCGGCGGUGCAUUAGCUAGUUGGUGAGGUAACGGCUCACCAAGGCGACGAUGUGUAGCUGGGCUGAGAGGAUGAGCAGACAGACUGGAACUGAGACACGGUCGAGACUCGUACGGGAGGAAGCAGUGAGGAAUAUUUCACAAUGAGAGAAAGCUUGAUGGAGCAAUGCCGCGUGCAGUAUGAAGGCCGUCGGGUUGUAAACUGCUUUUAUAAGAGAAGAUUAUGACGGUAACUUAUGAAUAAGGGACGGCUAACUACGUG